rnacentral:rRNA from 1 species
AGAGUUUGGAUCCUGGCUCAGGACGAACGCUGGCGGCGUGCUUAACACAUGCAAGUCGAACGCUGAAGCGGUGCUUGCACCGUGGAUGAGUGGCGAACGGGUGAGUAACACGUGGGUAAUCUGCCCUGCACUCUGGGAUAAGCCCUGGAAACGGGGUCUAAUACCGGAUAUGACAUCGUGCCGCAUGGUGUGGUGUGGAAAGCUCCGGCGGUGCAGGAUGAGCCCGCGGCCUAUCAGCUUGUUGGUGGGGUGAUGGCCUACCAAGGCGACGACGGGUAGCCGGCCUGAGAGGGUGACCGGCCACACUGGGACUGAGACACGGCCCAGACUCCUACGGGAGGCAGCAGUGGGGAAUCUUGCGCAAUGGGCGAAAGCCUGACGCAGCAACGCCGCGUGGGGGAUGACGGCCUUCGGGUUGUAAACCUCUUUCGACACCGACGAAGCCAUCUUCGGGUGGUGACGGUAGGUGUAGAAGAAGCACCGGCUAACUACGUG